UAGUGCAGUUUACGUGUUUGUUUUUCAAGUGUUCGAUAUUUAAACUUCUCUAUUAGGGCGACAAUGUAGGAACAGUAUGCACAUUAUGAGCGUGAAAGAGGUUUGGAUAAAUAUUUUCUUCCGAACUGGUGGAGAUAGCACUUAAUCAGUUGAUACUGUAUCGAACAAAGUGUAUACAUGCUUAUAUGGAACGAAUUUAACUUAGUUUAGAAAUCAUAUAGCUAUGGGAGGAACCAGUUUUAAACUAGUCUUUACGAUAUUUAUACUGCUAGUCAACUCCUGCGUCCUCGGUCGUGAUUCCGAUGCUGUCAGCGAUGCUCAAUCAGCGGACAGUCGAGACGGCCAAAGCACUGCCCAAAUUGCCAUUAUUGUUACCGGCGUCGUUUGUGGACUCGCGGCCAUCAUGUGCCUAGGCGCCUGUGGGUACUUCUGCUACGCAAAAUGCUGCGUAGAGGAAUUCAUCAUCUAAGAGCAGCAAGGGAGCAGAAAACAAAUUACAAGCACAACAAUCAUGAAAGUAGUUCCAGUGGAAACCGCGACGUGAAUUACGAAGAGGCGUAAUUCGACUGGAGCUUCCACGAACAACUUGAUGUGGCAAGCGAGCCAUACUGUGCCUUGAUUGUCGUAUGAUAUGGCGUCUUUAAACUUAAAUCAGCGCCUUUCCCAUUUCGUGAUGGUUGUUGCUCGCUUCUUAACUUUUCCAAAACGGCGGACCAAGCAUUCUGCCUAUUUGGUGUUUGAAAUUCAGUUCUCCUUUGUCAAUAUACAUGUUCCUUUUACUUUCUAACACACAAGUUUCUUAUAUUUUUUAUUUGAUUUUAAUCGUCCAUAGACCUUGGGUAUUUUAGGCAUCUAAUGUCUUCAUAUACAUUUUAGUGUGCUUCAAUAUGUCGUUAAUACGAUUGCAUUUCAUUCCGAUAUAGUAUUUUGUUUAUUACACGUGAAAAGCGUUCGGACUGAUAUUCGACGAAUGAACAUGAUGCAAACCUACGUAAAGUUUCCUUUUCUGCUUUUUGUAAAAAAAUGCCCCCUCUACACUCGAAGAUUAUGCAAGGAAUGUAUCCAAUUUAUCAUAAAACACUGUAAUGACAGACGUAUGUAAUUGUACCAUAUACGUCGUGUAAAUAUAUAUAUAUAGAUGAUUCUAAAAAUAUAACUUAUAAUACAACAAUUUAGUUAUAUAUUUUUCAUGCUGAAUAUGACGACUACUUAUGCCAAAAGUAGUAUUGUUUUAGCCCACGUAUCAUCAUGAAUUGCUUCAUAAUUUUGGUUACCGUUAUCAACAAUUCAUCCAUAGCCGGUGCUUUUUUAUAAAAAAAGUUCGCCACUUUUUUAUUUUAUCUCAAAACAGAUUGUCUAAACAAACCUGAUUUAGUUUGUGCACGCACAAUCACUCUAAAUGUGUCCCAUAAUAAAUGUUAUGUAAUACCAUUAAACAAUCGGUAAUUUUGAAUACCAUGUAUUAUAUACUCUAUGUAUUAUAUAAUGUAUUACGCUCGUUUUGUUUGUUUGCUUAUUUUGUUUUGAACUGUUUUUGUAAUUGAACUUGUGCUGUGUUCUAAGUUUUUAUGUAUAAAUAUAUGCAACCCACAUA